rnacentral:rRNA from 1 species
UACAGAGACUGCAAGCGUUAUUCGGAUUCACUGGGCGUAAAGGGUGCGCAGGCGGCCGGGUGUGUCAGAUGUGAAAUCCCGAGGCUUAACCUCGGAACUGCGUCUGAAACUACUCGGCUAGAGUACUGGAGAGGGUAACGGAAUUCACGGUGUAGCAGUGAAAUGCGUAGAUAUCGUGAGGAACACCAGAGGCGAAGGCGGUUACCUGGUCCGAUACUGACGCUGAGGUGCGAAAGCGUGGGGAGCAAACAGG